rnacentral:tRNA from 1 species
GGUGCCGUAGCCAAAGGGAAAGGCAGAGAACUGCAAAAUCUUUAUCCAUGGUUCGAAUCCAGGCGGUACCA